GACGAACGCUGGCGGCGUGCUUAACACAUGCAAGUCGAACGGAAAGGCCCUGCUUUUUUGGGGUGCUCGAUUGGCGAACGGGUGAGUAACACGUGAGUAACCUGCCCUUGACUUUGGGAUAACUUCAGGAAACUGGGCCUAAUACCGGAUAGGAGCUCCUCCUGCAGGGUGGGGGUUGGAAAGUUUCGGCGGUUGGGGAUGGACUCGCGGCUUACCGGCUUGUUGGUGGGGUAGUGGCUUACCAAGGCUUUGACGGGUAGCCGGCCUGAGAGGGUGACCGGCCACAUUGGGACUGAGAUACGGCCCAGAGUCCUACGGGAGGCAGCAGUGGGGAAUAUUGCACAAUGGGCGGAAGCCUGAUGCAGCAACGCCGCGUGCGGGAUGACGGCCUUCGGGUUGUAAACCGCUUUCGCCUGUGACGAAGCGUGAGUGACGGUAAUGGGUAAAGAAGCACCGGCUAACUACGUG
rnacentral:rRNA from 1 species